rnacentral:rRNA from 1 species
GACGAACGCUGGCGGCGUGCUUAACACAUGCAAGUCGAACGGAAAGGCCCUGCUUUUGUGGGGUGCUCGAGUGGCGAACGGGUGAGUAACACGUGAGUAACCUGCCCUUGACUUUGGGAUAACUUCAGGAAACUGGGGCUAAUACCGGAUAGUAGCUCCUGCUGCAUGGUGGGGGUUGGAAAGUUUCGGCGGUUGGGGAUGGACUCGCGGCUUAUCAGCUUGUUGGUGGGGUAGUGGCUUACCAAGGCUUUGACGGGUAGCCGGCCUGAGAGGGUGACCGGCCACAUUGGGAAUGAGAUACGGCCCAGACUCAUACGGGAGGCAGCAGUGGGGAAUAUUGCACAAUGGGCGGAAGCCUGAUGCAGCAACGCCGCGUGCGGGAUGACGGCCUUCGGGUUGUAAACCGCUUUCGCCUGUGACGAAGCGUGAGUGACGGUAAUGGGUAAAGAAGCACCGGCUAACUACGUG